rnacentral:rRNA from 1 species
GAUGAACGCUGGCGGCGUGCCUAAUACAUGCAAGUCGAGCGAACAGACGAGGAGCUUUCUCCUCUGACGUUAGCGGCGGACGGGUGAGUAACACGUGGAUAACCUACCUAUAAGACUGGGAUAACUUCGGGAAACCGGAGCUAAUACCGGAUAAUAUAUUGAACCGCAUGGUUCAAUAGUGAAAGACGGUUUUGCUGUCACUUAUAGAUGGAUCCGCGUCGCAUUAGCUAGUUGGUAAGGUAACGGCUUACCAAGGCAACGAUGCGUAGCCGACCUGAGAGGGUGAUCGGCCACACUGGAACUGAGACACGGUCCAGACUCCUACGGGAGGCAGCAGUAGGGAAUCUUACGCAAUGGGCGAAAGCCUGACGGAGCAACGCCGCGUGAGUGAUGAAGGUCUUCGGAUCGUAAAACUCUGUAAGUAGGGAAGAAGAAAUGUGUAAGUAACUAUGCACGUCUUGACGGUACCUAAAGAGAAAGCCACGGCUAACUACGUG